GCGGAGGAGGUGGGGGCCGAGGCGGUGCGCCGCGGCUCCGGGCGCGGGCUGGAUGAGGUACUCGCGGCCCCGCAACGAGAAGGCGCCGCGCAUCCCCGCGCACAGGCUGAGGGCGGCUGCCGAGCCGGGGUCCCGGUUGACGGUGCCGGAGUAGAAGCAGCGGGCGAGGUCGUCUCCCGGCGGCGGGGAGGAGGAGGAGGGCGGCGGCGGCCCGCCCAGAUUUUGUUUGGCUUCCAGUUUGCCAGAAGGGAAAGGAAAAGCGUGCUCCAGCCAGGGAAUGCUGCUGUCCACUGAAAAAGGUGUUUGGAUGGAGGAGCUCUUUUUCAUGGCCAGAUUGUGGCUUUUGGCAGCAGAGGUGGCAGGAAGCAGUUGCCAUAACAACUAUACCAUUAAAAAAACCCCUAAAUCUGGCUAGCUCUGAAGACAAACCAGGUGAUGAUUUACAUAAACAUUAUGAGCACAGCCAAAGGAAAUGGCUCUUGUGGUAGAACAUGCAGGCUCUGGAGCCUCAGACUGGAGUCCCUCUGGGAAGGCCUUCUGCAGGAAUAAUCAAGGAAAAGCAAAGAGAUUGCUGCCCUGCUCCUGGAAGCAUGAAAACUAAUCAUUUUCUUUGGAUUUUAUUAAAAUAUUUUUUCCCACAUAUUUUCUCUUCAAUCUUCUUGUUGAGUCAAUGUAGAAUGCUGAGUGCUAUAAGUACAAUUUAUGUAUUACUUCCAAAUUAACACAUAUAGCAUAAGAAGAGCAAGGUAACAGUAUAAGCAAUGUGGAAAAACUCAAACACUGCCUUGUUCUUGUUUAAUUAUUCCAUAUAUUUUGAUGUUUCCAAAACUAUUAUUUUUUUUU